CUUUUCAGGACGGCGAGUUGUGUUUGUUCCGUGUAGGGAUUAUAAUAAUAAACGUAAGACGGUUCACGAUAAUGUUGCUAUAUUUCUUCUUGUUCGAUCACCAGACAAAACAUCUAUAACGUACAAAUAUAUAUAAGGUUCACUCUUUCUUUUAGUUGUGUUAUGGUUACUUUUUGUUUCUUAUGUUAAGUUUGAGGUUCUUAUUUUUACUAGAUGUUGUCGAUUCAGAGUUGGAAAUUUGAAUGAAUCUGCCUUCUGAAACUCCUUCUUUUAUAGACAGUAUCAGCCAAUCAGGCAGCACGUUAUGAAAUCCAGACCAAUGAAAACAAUCGUUACAAAAUGACAUUGGCGUUCUAAAAUGAAUGAUUCCGAGAAAAUUUGGCUUCUGAUGCAAAACUACAAUUAUUUACAAUUUAUGAUGUGGCGUUUACUUGAUAUUUAGAAAGAACAAUAUUUUAUGAAUAAAAUGGCACCACAUAUGGUUUCAAUAGACAAAAAUGUGAUAUCAAACGCCGGUUUCCAAAAUAGACAUUGACAGCUUCCAAACAAGAUGGCGGAUGAGAAAUACAAUUGACAAGAGAUCCUUCAUAUUGUGGAAUAAUACACUUCCUCAAGUAAUAUUUGCUCACUGUACCACAAUGGCCGUCUUCUCUACAACACCGCCGUCCACGACGCCCUCGUACAUCUCCACUAAAGCAACCGCCUGCGUAACAGACUGGCAACCCUCGCUGAUACACUUAAACUUAAGUUCUGGGCUGAUCGAUUUGUAAAACUGGUUUAGUGCAAGCAUUUCCUGCGCCUGAUUACCGAAGUCUGGGUAUGCACGCUGAGUCAUGCAUUUUAGGUCA